GUCCUUUCAUAUUCACAAAGUAUUUUACUAAUAUCUCAUUUUAUUCUCAGAACGACCCUGGGAGGUAAGUGUUCUGAUUAUCCCCAUUUUACAAAUGAGGAAACUAAGACAAAGGGAGGGUAUGUGACUUGCCCAAGAUCACACAGCUAGUAAGUGACUGAGUUUGGAUUUUAACUAGGUCUUCCUGACUUCAGGUGCAGUGCUAAAUUGUCCAUGUUUAUGGGGGCGGGGGGGGGGGGGAGGAGGGAGGACUCUCCAAUAAUUAGUUCUGUGAUGUCAAAUAUCAUACUCAUACUGUAUUGGUUUUUCCCACAUUUGCAUACUGCCAAGUGGCAUUUGAAAGAAACUUUAGAUUAAAAGACCAAUUUCCUUAAUUAGAUUGGAAAAGUAUCAACUUUGACAUAAAUAAAGCUGCUGUCAUGCUUAUCUUGCCCAUAUCACCAAGAGAGAAGCUGUGCGCAGACGCAUUGAACAGGCACCCCCUGAUUCUCCUCCCAAAGGCAUGAACGUCAGUAAGACGGCAGAGUUAUCAUCAAUGACACAUCCCUUUGUGGUAACUAAUGGCAGCCAGGGAACCUGGAACCAAGACUAUGGAGGUAACACCUCGGGCAUUUCUACAGCUUUAAACCUCUUCUCUUCGGGUCUAGCCUCGCCUGCUACAACGGCGAGCAGAAUUUCAGCACUCCUCAUUCCCAGAUGAAGGGAACCACUGAAAAGACCUCCAUGACCAUGAAGACAGCAAAGACCACAGGACCGAUCAUCACUAAAAAACCUGUUUCUAUUACCCUGCAAACAAAAAGCUACCCCAAAAAUGAACAUCGGAGCUUGAGAGAUGCCCCAGCAGGAAUGGGAGUCGCUAGUCCAGAGGCUGUCAGGAACUCGACCAUCCAGGAUCUGCCCACACAUUCUGAGAUCAAUCUAACAUCCAGCCCGCAGAUACCAGCCCACGGUGAGCUCAUAGAUGCACCGACGAAGCCAGAAACCCCAAUCACUAUCACCACCUUAACUCCAAUCUCAGCAGCAUCACUGUUGAACAGCUCACCUAUCUUGGAAAGAGCUCCAUCUGCUCCCCCGGAGACAGAUUCCAAAACCACAUUGGUGACUGCCUCACCAAGCACUUCACAGGUUACAGAACGGAGUGUCCUUCAAAGCACCGCGAGACCUAAGACCGUCACAAUCCCAACUGGGAGCUCAGUCACCUCCUCCAACACCUCGGUUCAGUCAGCCAUCGAAAGUGAAUACAUCCGGCUGAAUGCUUCCCCCUUACGGCAGUACUGGGCCAAUCAGAACUUGCUCUUUGCUGCGCUAUUAAUUUGCGCCAUAUUUUUCAUCAGCGUCCUGGUUUUGUUGGCCAUGCAAGCCUAUGAGAGUUACAAGAGCGGAGAUUACACCCAAGUGAACUAUUUAAUUAAUGGAAUUAGUACUCCCCAGAUUGUGUGA
rnacentral:lncRNA from 1 species